UACGAAGGGGGCUAGCGUUGUUCGGAAUUAUUGGGCGUAAAGCGCGUGUAGGCGGCUUUGCAAGUCGGGUGUGAAAGCCCUCAGCUUAACUGAGGAAGUGCGCCCGAAACUGCAGAGCUUGAAUACCGGAGAGGAUGGCGGAAUUCCCCAAGUAGAGGUGAAAUUCGUAGAUAUGGGGAGGAACACCGGUGGCGAAGGCGGCUUUCUGGACACUUACUGACGCUGAGACGCGAAAGCGUGGGGAGCAAACAGGG
rnacentral:rRNA from 1 species